UACGUAGGUGGCAAGCGUUGUCCGGAUUUAUUGGGCGUAAAGCGCGCGCAGGUGGUUCGUCGCGUCCGGGGUGAAAUCUCCUGGCUCAACUGGGAGGGGUCUUCGGAUACGGGCGGACUUGAGGAGAGCAGAGGUAGGCGGAAUGCUGGGUGUAGUGGUGAAAUGCGUAGAUAUCCAGCGGAACACCAGUGGCGAAGGCGGUCUUCUGGACGGUGACUGACGCUGAGGCGCGAAAGCGUGGGGAGCAAACGGG
rnacentral:rRNA from 1 species